rnacentral:rRNA from 1 species
GAUGAACGCUGGCGGCGUGCCUAAUACAUGCAAGUCGAGCGAAUGGAUUAAGAGCUUGCUCUUAUGAAGUUAGCGGCGGACGGGUGAGUAACACGUGGGUAACCUGCCCAUAAGACUGGGAUAACUCCGGGAAACCGGGGCUAAUACCGGAUAACAUUUUGAACCGCAUGGUUCGAAAUUGAAAGGCGGCUUCGGCUGUCACUUAUGGAUGGACCCGCGUCGCCUUAGCUAGUUGGUGAGGUAACGGCUCACCAAGGCAACGAUGCGUAGCCGAACUGAGAGGGUGCUCGGCCACACUGGGACUGAGACACGGCCCAGACUCCUACGGGAGGCAGCAGUAGGGAAUCUUCCGCAAUAGACGAAAGUCUGACGGAGCAACGCCGCGUGAGUGAUGAAGGCUUUCGGGUCGUAAAACUCUGUUGUUAGGGAAGAACAAGUGCUAGUUGAAUAAGCUGGCACCUUGACGGUACCUAACCAGAAAGCCACGGCUAACUACGUGCCAGCAGCCGCAGUAA